UUCUCAGGUAGCUCAGUUGGUUAGGGCAUGGUGGUGAUAACGCCAAGUUCGCAGGUUUGAUUCCCAUAUGGGACA